CAGCCACGCAGCCAACCAAGGACAGGUUUCACAGUUGCUGCUAGAGCAGAUAAGGGCCAAUUAGAGGGUAGGCAAAAAGCUCCCACUUCCCUAGCUGCUUGCUCAGCCCGUCUGUGCUAAUCCCAGCACAGUUAAAGCCCCCUCUUUGCUUUCAGAUAUUGCUCUGAGAGAUUAAUCCUCCCCAAAACAAGGCAUUUCCAGCAGGCUGAGAAGACAAAAGAAAACUCUCCGAUUGCAAAAGACUCAGGCACCUGCCUGGGAACGUUUAAUUACCCCAACAAUGACUUCAAAAGCAGAAAAGCCAAAGCCACCAAGACGAAGCCAGCCCUGCAAUCAAAAAGCCACAGAAACGGGCAUUGGCUUAGCACCAGCCCAGCUCAGCUGGCGCUACCCAGACACCUGGGGCCAGUGCCUGCAGGUUAUAACAGUUUGCCAAGUGCAGACUCACAGCCCAUCUCUCCUGGGGACACUUUUCCCCGCAGAGUCUGCAAUGCCAGGCAGGGUGCUGGCUUCUCCUUUGUUUUUUUCCUUGGGCUCAUGUUUUGCCAAUAGAUGCACUUAAAAAAGAAGUGGACAAGUUUAAUCUCCUGCGUCAACAUGUUCCCUUAUCGGGGAGGGUGGUUCCCACCUAGCAGGCCCCAGCUGUCAUUUAUCCUGCUGCAGAAGUGUGUGCAUGCAUUGCAGAGCAAAUCAGAGGCAAAAAUUUCCCGGGUUUUCCUCCCCCUUCCCAGGCUCUUUUGGGAGCACAGGAGUGAACAGAGGGAUUGCUAUAGGGCUGAUCUUGCUGGAGGGGCUGCUCCCUCUCCACAGGUACAGCAGGACCCUGCAAGCAGGCUGGGACUUAGGGGAGACGGCAGGGGAGAUGGCAGGACCCAAGUCCUUGUGCGGAGACCGGACGCUUUCUUCCACCUCGGGGCUUCCUGAUUGAAACGCUACAAAUUGGAGACAGCAGCCUUGGCAUUCUAGGACUUAAGCCAUGAAGUCAGGAAGGGAAAAGCCCCAAAAGCACCCAGCUGUAGCAAUCACAGAUUCAAGAAAAGUGGUUGCAAAAGUGCACAAAAAGCACUAAGCAAAAAUGGCCUGAAAAGAUUCAAGAAAAGUGCUUGUGAAAGAGCACACAAAGCAUCAGAAAACUGGCCUGAAAGGUCUGCCUGGAAAUGCAAAGAAACAGGAAAGAGGGGGGCUGUGUGCCAUGCUUGAGAUACCAAUCACUAAGGGCCAGAACAAAGCGGGACUGAGGGAAUUCAUGAGAAAUCCAUGAUCUGGACUCAAAGAACCCCAGGGCUGCCUGUCCCAGCUCGUGUCCUGUACUCUCUCCACUGCUGUCUUUUCCCUUUCCGUUUCCCACUGCUCAAACCGUCUGCCCUUGGGCCAACAUAUUGCUGGGGCCAGGCCCACGGGUAGCGAUCAAACACGCUGGCUCUCUCAGAGACACAGAGCAAGACGGGCCUUUGAUGUGCCCCAGGACGGCUGCUCUGCGUCCCCUUGUUUUUCAAAGGCCCGUCUUUGCUAUUGUGCUCACAUCCUGAGCUUGUUUGUACACUUGUCCAAGGCCCCCAGCCCUCCAGCCCCCCUGCAGGGGUGUGGGUCUCACAGAGAUAGGAGGACUGACUCGGAGAUAAAAGCAGCCAGGCUCACCGCGCGGAGUUGUUAUCAGAGCAAUGACAAGCAGCACAGUACUGCAGUGCAGCCACUGAGAUAGGGAGAGCUCUGCCACGCUGACCCCACAAGACAAAAGGAUCCAGGUCAACAACAGCUCCUGCUAGAUCUCCACCAGCCACGGCUGCCCGCAGCAAAGCUGCCUGGGCAUUUCAUCUGUUAGUGGAGCGGUAUCAGUCCAGCGCACGCCAAGGAUUUGUUCUAAU
ensembl:lncRNA